rnacentral:rRNA from 1 species
UACGAAGGGGGCUAGCGUUGUUCGGAAUUACUGGGCGUAAAGCGCGCGCAGGCGGUCUUCCAAGUCAGUGGUGAAAGCCCGGAGCUCAACUCCGGAACUGCCAUUGAAACUGUAAGACUUGAGGAUGAGAGAGGUGAGUGGAAUUCCCAGUGUAGAGGUGAAAUUCGUAGAUAUUGGGAAGAACACCGGUGGCGAAGGCGGCUCACUGGCUCAUUACUGACGCUCAGGCGCGAAAGCGUGGGGAUCAAACAGG